UACGUAGGGUGCAAGCGUUAAUCGGAAUUACUGGGCGUAAAGCGUGCGCAGGCGGUUUUGUAAGUCUGUCGUGAAAUCCCCGGGCUCAACCUGGGAAUUGCGAUGGAGACUGCAAGGCUAGAAUCUGGCAGAGGGGGGUAGAAUUCCACGUGUAGCAGUGAAAUGCGUAGAGAUGUGGAGGAACACCGAUGGCGAAGGCAGCCCCCUGGGUCAAGAUUGACGCUCAUGCACGAAAGCGUGGGGAGCAAACGAGGAUUAG
rnacentral:rRNA from 1 species